GUUAAUGUAGCUUAAAUAAAGCAARGCACUGAAAAUGCCUAGAUGNCACUCCAUAAACA
rnacentral:tRNA from 1 species